CCGGAGGUGACAGCCGCCGCUAGCCGUGCAUUAGAAUUGAGAUCACCCUUUGCCUGAUGCCGCUGUUUCCAGGUUGCUUUGAAGGACACAAGCAUGAAGAAAUGAAGGCUUGUCCAACAGAUCAUCCUUUUGGCCGAUAUCACGGUUUCCAGUUUACUUUGAAGCAAGCAAGCUCAAGAAAAGAAGACAGCUUGUCAAACAGGUUAGUGUGUUUUCUUGCAAUACUGUAAAUUCCUAUUUGAAGUACGCACCAGGCAUAUUUGGGCUGUUGAGAGACAAUUCUGACCUAAAGCUGAGAAAACUUAUUCCCUCUCCAAUCUUGAACAAAAUAUGAACAGAAUAAAUUCAAAUUCAUGCU